ensembl:lncRNA
GCCUGAGGCCCACUUCUUUGUGCCCCAUGAAAUGCAAACCGGAGGCCAGUUGUAAAUGUCUAAGAUGGAGCCCAUCUGUCUCCUAGGUCAGGUAGAAGGGCUUCCCUUUUGGGGUUUCAGAGGGAUUGUCUAGCAUGAUAGUGAAUUGGAUCUGUGCUAUGCUGUGCUAAGUCACUUCAGUCAUGUCUGACUCUGUGCGACCCUAUGGACCCAGAGGACCCACCAGGCUCCUCUGUCCGUGGGAUUCUCCAGUCAAGAAUACUGGAGUGGAUUGCCAUGCCCUCCUCCAGGAGAUCUUCCCAACCCAGGGAUCAAACCUGUGUCUCUUAUGUCUUCUUCAUUGGCAGGAUUCUUUGCCACUAGCAUCACCAUCUAGUAGGGCCAAAAAGGACUGUGUAUUUUCAUUGUUCUAAUGAACCACCAGAGUGCUGGAGGGAUAUUUGUCCCUGGGAGGUGGGAUAAGCCCAGGAGAGCUGCUGAUUUCACAGGGUGGGCACUUAAGUGGUAACCAGUCCUGGAGCAGGGACUGGAUUGGGGCUAGAGAGCUGGGACCAGAGGAGGGACGGCAGAAGGGGGCUAUAGUUGGGAGAACAUUAGUUUCAGGGUCUGGAGUUUAGAGAGAGGCUGUCCAGCGGUUAAGCAGCCAGGAUCCCCUUGUUUUCAUAACUCCCAGUUGAGGUUUUGCCUUGUAUUCCCAUACAGGGCACAACUAGAUCAGGGGAUUAUUGGGAAGGGAGUGGAGAAGCCUUUCUGUUGAGGGAAAUUUGUUUGAGGGAGACCUUUCUAGGGCAAUGGUGAUGGAGGGCCAUGAGUCUGAUGUAUUGGGACAUCUGGACAGUGAUAUCUAGUAGACAUGUCAGUGCUCCAGUGCCUGGUGGAUGGUUUUAGGAACCCCCUUCCCAGAAUGUUGUAGUAGCAGUGCUUCCCUGUAGUUAGGGGAACACCAUGUAAAAAGAAUUCUCUGGACUUAGGGUCGAAUGGGACCUAUUGAGGGUUGGAGAUUCAGGGAGAGUCAUUCGUGUCACUACGGUGGUGGAAAUGACAGAGGCAUUGGAGCAUGCCAGUUUUGUACAGCAGGAGACUUGGAAGGCCCUCAUGUACAUUAAUAGUCAAUUAAGGCCUUUUAAAUUAGUGGUCUAAUUAUCUCAUUAGACCAUAUGGCCUUGAUCAUGCUGCUCUGGGGAGAUCUUUGAAUUAUUAUGG